rnacentral:rRNA from 1 species
UACGAAGGGUGCAAACGUUGCUCGGAAUCAUUGGGCGUAAAGCGCACGUAGGCGGCCUCAUAAGUCGGAUGUGAAAUCCCUCGGCUCAACCGAGGACGUGCAUUCGAAACUGCGAGGCUCGAGUAUGGAAGAGGGUCGCGGAAUUCCUGGUGUAGCGGUGAAAUGCGCAGAUAUCAGGAGGAACACCGGUGGCGAAGGCGCCACUCUGGGCCGAUACUGACGCUGAGGAGCGAAAGCGUGGGGAGCGAACAGG